AAAAAAGGGGCUUCCAGGGACUCGUCUGAACUUGAAGAGAGACGGGACAACAGGGAACAGGGAAGAAUAGGACAGCAGGAGGAGCAGGGUGACCUCCAGUACGCCAGCAUCCACUUCUCCAACAACCAGGCAGAUCCUCUCUACUCCAACAUCAGGCCAGCUCAGCCCCUCAGACACACGGAGCAACAAGAAGGGGCUGAAUACGCCACCGUCAAGUUCAUCAGAGCCCCGAGAAUCAGAGCUGGAGAGGAUCCAGCUGCAUUGUACAGCACCGUCAACAAAAACUGAUGACCACAGAGUCUACACCUCUA